UACGGAGGGUGCGAGCGUUAAUCGGAAUUACUGGGCGUAAAGCGCGCGUAUGUGGCUGGGUAAGUCGGAUGUGAAAGCCCCGGGCUUAACUUGGGAACUGCAUUCGAUACUGCCCGACUAGAGUAUGGUAGAGGAAAGCGGAAUUCCCGGUGUAGCGGUGAAAUGCGUAGAUAUCGGGAGGAACAUCAGUGGCGAAGGCGGCUUUCUGGACCAAUACUGACGCUGAGGCGCGAAAGCGUGGGUAGCAAACAGG
rnacentral:rRNA from 1 species